UCCUCGCUAGUAUAUCGGUUAGUAUAUUCGCCUCUCAAGUCGAGAGAUUCAACGCGAAAGAGCAGGGUUCAACUCCCUGGCGGGGAA